UCAUUCAUUCAUUCACUCAUUCAUUUACUCACUCACUCACUCAUUCAUUCAUUCAGUCUAUCAUUCCAGGAAUUGAAUACCAUGAUUGCUAAGCUCCCUUCUUGCUCCAAUAGUCAAGGAGUCUUUCAUUUUGCUUAGCACAGUGCCUGGUACAUAGCCGACGCUCUUAAUAAAUACUUACUCAUUGUAAAUCACAUCCUUCUCAGGAGUUGAAAGCUGGCUUUCAAUUUAAUGUCUUCAUAGUAGACGUCGGGUGGUGCUCUUGUCGAAAGGUUCCACCUUCCAUCCCUUGAGUUUUGAUGACUGGGUCAAGAUGCUUUUUUGGCAGGUGCUAUUCCCUUCCAUAUGCCAGAAGAAACACUCCCAUCCCUCGGUCCCAUUUCACAGUCUCGUACAUCACGGUCAGGGUUUUUGCCAUUAUUUCUUCCCCUUAAGGUCCCAAUCCCCCGAAAGGACAAAGAAAGCCCUCGUGACAGAUAUUCAGCCAAGCAAGACAAAUUCUCAUCUUGGCCAAGCCCAUUGCCCCUCUGUCGGGAGGUGGGUAGCCUGCCUCCUCAUCUGUCCUCCGGAAUUACGGUUGAUCAUUCCCAAUUGUUCAUUCUUUUAGCCGUUCUCCUGGUUCGUUCACUUUGCUAUGCAUUAGGUCGUACCACUCUCUUCCCAAGCGUCUCUGAAACCAUCCCUUUCAUCAUCUCUUAUUAGAGCACAAAAUAGCAUUCCAUUACCUUCAUGGACCAUAGUUUGUUUGUUCAGCCAUUCCCCAAUGGACGGGCAUCCCCUUAGCUUCCAGUUUGUGGCUACUACCAAAAAAAGUAUUUGUACAUAUAGGACGAUUGUUGAGGAAUGCCAGAUUGGUAACCCAGCACAUGGCACAGAGCAGACUUUUGUCUUGGACCCCCUUUGGCCAGAUGGUGAAGUAUACAGACCUCUUCUCAGAACAAGGUUUGUAAAGGCAUACACAGAUGUCGGGCAUUACAAGGGAAACCAGUUCUAUUGGAAUACAGUCAUCAAAAUCAUUUUCUCAAGUUCACGGACACCAGGUUAAGAACCAGUGGUAGAGGGACGUGUUAUCACUGACAUCCCAAGUGCGUAGCUGUGAUGUGGGCGUGGGGAGCCCCAUGCUUUGGAGCAAGAUUCUGCCUAGCAGAGAGAGAGAGAGAGAUCCCUGUGGUGGGGACAGUCCAGUGAUGAGCUAAUUUGAAGAUGUGCAGAUAGGACGCCACCUGGAAGCUUGUGGUUUUCACUAAUUAUUCUUGUGACUAACAGAUAGGUGGGUGUAGUGGGCAGAGUUUUAGGCUUGGAGCCUGGAAGAUCUGGGUUCCAGUCCUGCUUCCAAUACUUGUUAACUAUUUGACCAUUGGCUCCUGAGAAUCUCUUGCACUUUUUCUUACUUACAAAACUGCGUUCCACCUCAAAAAAGCUGCCUCCGUGCUUGAGAUCACAGGGUCACUGCAAAAGAAUCCUAAAUUUGAUAUAUUUUAGUUGUCCGAUACAGCCAUGCCCUCUAAUUUUGCCGUGGGUAGCCAAAGCACCCGGGCCCUCACUGCAAAAGCCAGUGGGAUCCAUCUAGGUUUGCAUUAAGAGAAGGAUGGCUUGCAGGAAUUGGAAGGUCUUCUGACCUCAGCAAACCUCAUCCUGGAUAGCCUACAUCAGUUUGGGGAAAGGCAGUUUAGGCAAGACAGUGAGAACCUGGAGAGGGUGUCCAGACUGGAGGACCCCUGCGAUCACGUCACAUGAGCGAGGGGUGAAGGAAGACUGAGGGCAGAAGAAGGUGCUACAUGAGAGCUGGGCUGUCAGGUGGAAGGAGGCUUGGUCUUGCUCCAGUCCCAGAGAGUGGAAGCAGGAAUGGCAAUGGGAGGAAGCUGGGGAGAGGCAAAGUCAGGCUGAGGAUGAGGAUGACCAGAUUCUAGUGGAGGGACUCCCGAACUGUGAUUCUGCACAGCUGUAGAGGAGCCAGAGUCUAUACUUCAAAGUAGGCUUCCUGGAAGCUUUGUGUGCUGAGGGAACAGGAAAGAAGCUAGACACAUGGACGCAGAAGGCUUCGUGCUCAGGCCCUGGGCAGCACUGUCCAGGGGCCAGAGUACCGAAGUGGGUUUGGAGUUCAGGACUUGGAUUCGAAUCUAACUAUAGUUACUACCUGAGCCUUGGGGGCAAGUCACCUGGUCUCCGGGGACCUCAGUUUCCUUUUCUAUAUAAGGAGGAGGUUGGACUAUAUAGGGAUGGUCUCUGAGGUCUUUUCCAGCUCAGCAUUUCGAAUCCUAUGUCCUUUGUGAGAGGGGAUCGAGAGAGUAGGGAGGGUAUCAAAAAUCCUUUAGUAUAACUGAGGCUCCUUGAUGUUCACACAAAUGAGGGCAGUGGAAGUGGAGGGAGGGAAAUGAUUGGGCCCGAGUGGGAGGGGUAGCAGUCAGUCUCAGUCCUGGGCUAUGAAGGCCUCCUCCCCCUGGCCUAGUGCCCCAUGGCAUUGGAGGGGGGGGGGUGUUGCGGGUCCACUCCAGCUCCUGUUCCAGCUCCCCUGAUCCUGCUACAGCUCUCAGCAUUUCCUCCAACGACUCAAAGACUGUGAAAGCCGCAGCAGCAGCAGCAGUAACAACAGUAACAGCAGGCAUGCACGCUAGGCACCAGGCACCCAGUGUAACAGCCAAAAUGUGUGACAAACCAGACCUCUCCGAGGUGGGAAAACCUGACCGGAAAAAGCUGAAAAACAGCAGCACGAAGGAAAAGAAUACCAUUCCUUCCAAGGAAACCAUCAAGAGGAGAAGGAAAGCGAAAGCGAUAAGUCUUCCUAGGGAUGGGGCGUCCCUUCCCAGCAACAGAAUCGAGUGCUUCCAGAGUUUAUUGUUUCGCCUUUAAUAGUGUUUGUUUGCUUCGCUUUUUAGGCAACAUUUAGGCUGCUUUCAUCUCUUUACCCAGUGUUACCUGACCAUCCUCCACCCUGUGCUUAUCUGAAGAGGGACACAGUCAUGGAAGGGCCCUAAGAACGGUGUUAACCACAACCAAAGUGUUAACCAAGAAAGCCUGUAAAUGUGCUGACAUUUAUCAUACCUUAGGCUUAAUAGGCCUCAUUUCACGCCCCCUUCCCCUCCCUGCUCCGCUCCAUUUUUCUGUGCAUUGCUUAGAGUGAUUAAUGUUUUUUCUUGACUUUACAGUUAUUCAAUUUUCUUCUAUACUUAAUAUAUUAUCUAAUAAGAAAUAAAUGUUAUGGAUUGUGGUGGAAA